ACACGUGGAACAUUCCGAAUUCCAAAACUCUUUUCCACUGCUGCUAGCCCAGCAUAAAACUGCUCACCCUGUAACACGGACACUGCUGAGGAAGAACCAGAAAAGCUGCCCUGUUCCUUAACUGGGUUCACAUCAACACUGUGACAGGGAGAACCUGACCUCAUGCUGAGGACCCUGGGAUAAACACCAAUGCCCAGCGCCUCUUACUGGCUGCUGACUUCGCUGGUUGGGAUUUUGAGUAAAGGUAUUCUGAUAUUUGAAAAAUAAUAGCCUUGGAAAGGAAGACAAGACCAACUCAUCAGGAGACAAGUUUAUUUUUGGAAAGGAAAAGUAUAAGAUCGUAACUGCACUUCCAGUCACAUUCCUACCAGGGGAAACACAGAAAAGCGCACCACUCAGCAUCUGAUGGCUCAGUGAACUUAGUCAAAGGAUAUCUACGAACGCACCAUGCAAACCAAGAAACAGAACACCACCAGCAUCCAGAGCCUCCUCUAUCCCACGGUCCCAGACUCUCCUGCAAGUCACAGUCCCGGACUUCCAACUCCUCAGUGUGUUCUGCCUGCUUUGGGAAUGUACACAAGUGGAUACAACACAUACUCUCUCGUGUCUGGUUUUGUGUAUAGCAGACGUCUGUUUGCUUAUGUUGCCCUGUAAGACUGUGUCGCAUAAUUCCAUAUUUAGUUGUCCACUGCACUAGCAACAGGAAUUAGGGCUGUUUUUGGCUGUGACUCUUUUAAAUGCUGAUGAUGUAAAGCCCUUUGCCUGUGUCUUUUGGUAACAACGUGUACCAAGUUCUGCUGGGCUCACGCUCCCAAGCCGACUGGCUGGCCACUAGACUGCAGGAAGUGUCACACAGAUUACCAUGGUGAUAGCAGUAUACAAGGGUUUUACUCCAUCCACUUUCUCACCAGCCCUGGGCUCAGGACUGUCACCUUUCCAGGAUUCCUGGUGGGCUCCACUCACCCACUGCACAUGUGGUCCGGCUUAUCUCAGCAAUUGUCCCUGACACACCUCAAGCGUGACGGGAGAUGGAUCAUUUUUCAUCAAUGAAGGAAGCUCUGUGAAAAGCUGAGGCGAUGGAAAACAGAAGCUCAGGCCCCAAGCUCCUGCAGGUAGG